rnacentral:rRNA from 1 species
ACGUAGGGGGCAAGCGUUAUCCGGAAUUAUUGGGCGUAAAGAGUGCGUAGGUGGUUUUUUAAGCGUGAGGUGAAAGGCAAUAGCUUAACUAUUGUAUUCCUUGCGAACUGGAAGACUUGAGUUCAGGAGAGGAAAGUGGAAUUCCUAGUGUAGCGGUGAAAUGCGUAGAUAUUAGGAGGAACACCAGAGGCGAAGGCGAAAAACAGGAAAGAAACUGACACUGAGGAACGAAAGCGUGGGGAGAAAAAAG